rnacentral:ncRNA from 1 species
AUUAGGUGUCGGAAGACUCAAUAAGGAAGUCCGGUACGGGGGUAUCCCCCAAGGCCGGCGCGGUCCCGCCACUGUAUCAGGGAGUGAAUCUGCAAAGGAAUCCGAAACAUAUUUGGAAGAUUCCGGUAUAUGUCACUGGGGGAAACCCUGGGAAGGCGCAGAGGAACAAUGAACUGAAGCCAGGAGAAUUGCCUGAUC